UUUUCAUUCAUGCUUCAGACACUGGCUACGAUGACAGCGUUCCCAUAGCGCCCUCUAGAAGACGCAGCGUGGAGUUCCCUUUCGAAAGGGAACAUCAUUCAGCUGUGGAUGGGACACUAACCAUGUUCAUAACUUUGAGAAGUAUGUUAUACCUUAAAUUAUAUAUAUUUUUUAUUAAAAAGUACAAUAUAUGUUUAAUAUUACUUUGAUUUUACAGAACAUUGGCACUACUGAAGAAGGGCUGAUUGGUUGACAUUGUAAUACAGGAUCAAGAAGUCUUGAGAUUGCACAAAGGCUUGAGAAACGGCACAAUCCGAUCCAGCAGUAUGUUUUUAUUUAAACAUCCCACAUUUUCUCCAAAGCUGAGGAUGAAAACUAGCAAAAAGUUUUGUUUUUUGAUGAAGAACAGACAGAGAGGAUAAUUGAAAGAAUAUACACAGUAACACAGCUGCCUAGGGUUUCCCUGGACAACACAACUUACGUUCUAUAUGAGCUAACACUGUUAAUGCUGCAAAAGACUGAGGGCUUUCAUAGGUUCCAGGCAGAAAUGGCUUUACAGUCAAACAUUGCUUUGGAGGUCAAAUGUUUAAAUCCACCAUGGUUUUGAUGGCACUUCAUCAGUAGGAGUGUAAUCCUGUAUGAAGAGGGUGGCCCGCUGAACAACUGUACUUUAGGCCAAAAGUUCUUGUAGCCCUGUCUAGUAGCCCUGUCCCCAUAUUCUUUCACAUUUCUCCUAGUAGUUUAAGAUCAAUAAUAUCACUGAAAUUGAAUACUGAAUGUAAACAUUGUUAUUGAAAUACUGAUUUAGAUACAGUACUGGUCAAAAUUUUGGACACAUUACUAGUAGUCUCUUAUUAUCAUCAAGACUGCUUAAAGCCAAUUUGAUCAAAAAUACAGAAAGCACAGUAAUAUUGUGGAAUAUAACAAUUAAAAAUAAUAGUUUUCUAAAUUAAUAUACUUUAAAAUAUAAUUGUUUCCAUGAUUAAAGCUGAAUUUUCACCAACCAUUACUCCAGUCUUCACAUGAUCCUUCAGAAAUCAUUCUAUGAUGAUUUCCUGCUAUUAUCAGUAUUGGAAACAGUUGUGCUGCUUAAUAUUAUUAUUUGUUUUGUGUGAUACUUUUUCAGGAUUCAAUGAUCAAUAAAAAGUUAAAAAGAACAGCA
ensembl:lncRNA